rnacentral:rRNA from 1 species
CCUACGGGAGGCAGCAGUAGGGAAUCUUCGGCAAUGGACGAAAGUCUGACCGAGCAACGCCGCGUGAGUGAAGAAGGUUUUCGGAUCGUAAAACUCUGUUGGUAGAGAAGAACGUUGGUGAGAGUGGAAAGCUCAUCAAGUGACGGUAACUACCCAGAAAGGGACGGCUAACUACGUGCCAGCAGCCGCGGUAAUACGUAGGUCCCGAGCGUUGUCCGGAUUUAUUGGGCGUAAAGCGAGCGCAGGUGGUUUAUUAAGUCUGGUGUAAAAGGCAGUGGCUCAACCAUUGUAUGCAUUGGAAACUGGUAGACUUGAGUGCAGGAGAGGAGAGUGGAAUUCCAUGUGUAGCGGUGAAAUGCGUAGAUAUCAGGAGGAACAUCGGUGGCGUAAGCGCUUUACUGGGCCGUAAUUGACGCUGAGGAACGAAAGCCAGGGUAGCAAAUGGGAUUAGAUACCCCAGUAGUC